rnacentral:tRNA from 1 species
GGGCCUGUGGUCUAGCCUGGACAUGACGGUGGACUUCGGAUCCACAGAUCCUGGGUUCAAAUCCCAGCAGGCUCG